rnacentral:rRNA from 1 species
UUGGCGAACGGGUGAGUAACGCGUGAGGAACCUGCCUCAAAGAGGGGGACAACAGUUGGAAACGACUGCUAAUACCGCAUAAGCCCACGGGUCGGCAUCGACCUGAGGGAAAAGGAGCAAUCCGCUUUGAGAUGGCCUCGCGUCCGAUUAGCUAGUUGGUGAGGUAACGGCCCACCAAGGCGACGAUCGGUAGCCGGACUGAGAGGUUGAACGGCCACACUGGGACUGAGACACGGCCCAG